UGGGGAAUAGUCUAGUGGUAGGACAGCGGACUCUGGAUCCGUGAGCGAAGGUUCGAAUCCUUCUUCCCCAGCCA
rnacentral:tRNA from 1 species